AUUGAACGCUGGCGGCAUGCUUUACACAUGCAAGUCGAACGGUAACAGGUUAAGCUGACGAGUGGCGAACGGGUGAGUAAUGCAUCGGAACGUGCCCGAUCGUGGGGGAUAACGCAGCGAAAGCUGCGCUAAUACCGCAUACGAUCUGAGGAUGAAAGCGGGGGACCGUAAGGCCUCGCGCGAUCGGAGCGGCCGAUGUCAGAUUAGGUAGUUGGUGGGGUAAAGGCUCACCAAGCCAACGAUCUGUAGCUGGUCUGAGGGGACGACCAGCCACACUGGGACUGAGACACGGCCCAGACUCCUACGGGAGGCAGCAGUGGGGAAUUUUGGACAAUGGGCGAAAGCCUGAUCCAGCAAUGCCGCGUGCAGGAAGAAGGCCUUCGGGUUGUAAACUGCUUUUGUACGGAGCGAAAAGGUCUCCUCUAAUACAGAGGGCUCAUGACGGUACCGUAAGAAUAAGCACCGGCUAACUACGUGCCAGCCGCCGCGGUAA
rnacentral:rRNA from 1 species